GAACGCGAAGAACCUUACCUAAGCUUGACAUCCCUCGGACAGGUGUUUAAUCACACCCUUCCUUCGGGACUGAGGUGACAGGUGGUGCAUGGUUGUCGUCAGCUCGUGUCGUGAGAUGUUGGGUUAAGUCCCGCAACGAGCGCAACCCUUGUCUUUAGUUGCCAGCAUUCAGUUGGGCACUCUAGAGAGACUGCCAGGGAUAACCUGGAGGAAGGUGGGGAUGACGUCAAAUCAUCAUGCCCCUUAUGCUUAGGGCUACACACGUGCUACAAUGGGUGGUACAGAGGGUUGCCAAACCGUGAGGUGGAGCCAAUCCCUUAAAGCCAUUCUCAGUUCGGAUUGUAGGCUGAAACUCGCUACAUGAAGCUGGAGUUACUAGUAAUCGCAGAUCAGAAUGCUGCGGUGAAUGCGUUCCCGGGUCUUGUACACACC
rnacentral:rRNA from 1 species